rnacentral:tRNA from 1 species
UCGAGUUAGAUCAGGUGUUUAGUGCGUCAGAACGUUGUUCUGGGGGACUAGGGGUCGUGGGUUCGAAUCCCGCCGCUCCGACCA